rnacentral:misc_RNA from 1 species
AAAGAUUGCAAUGAUUCUGGUUUGUGAUUGUGUGAACCAGGUAAAAGUAGGUGAAACCAAGAAGCACUUAAUAACUUGACUUUGCAGUCACCACCGAUCUAAACUUAUUUAAGCGGUGCAGAUGCGAAAGCCAAAGCAGCGAGCAAGACAGAAUAGAGAAAAGCAAAGAAGACUACCAGGUAGUGCCUCCUCCUGCAAUGAAUCCCAAAGCUGUACAGCACAUCUCAGAAUGCUUAAUCAAGCCUCAACGCAUCUUACAAGAAACAAGGCAUCCUUGGUAUUUGACACCAUGGGAUCUUCUUAUGCUUUCUGUUCAUUAUAUCCAAAAGGGCCUUCUUUUUGCCAAACCAACA